AACUGUAGGUUGUUCAAGGUGCUGAGUGUUAUUAGGAGACCCCAUUCCCCUCACAGAGCUAGAAUUCCUUGCAAAGAGGUUUUUAAACCAUUCUGUGGGGAGAAUAGGGGUCUCCUGACAACUCUCAGCACCCUUAACAACCUACGGUU